rnacentral:pre_miRNA from 1 species
AGUGGAAUAGCUGGGUCAAGUGAUUUUUCCAUUCCCUAUUUUUGAGGAAUCUCUAUACUGCUUUCCAUAAUGGUUGCACCAAUUUGCAGUCCCACCAGCAGU